rnacentral:rRNA from 1 species
UACGUAGGGGCCGAGCGUUGUCCGGAGUUACUGGGCGUAAAGCGCGCGCAGGCGGCUCGUCAAGCCUGACGUGAAAGCCCCCGGCUCAACCGGGGAGGGUCGUCGGGGACUGGCGGGCUUGAGGUCGGCAGGGGUUGGUGGAAUUCCCGGUGUAGUGGUGAAAUGCGUAGAGAUCGGGAGGAACACCCGUGGCGAAGGCGACUGCCUGGGCCAACACUGACACUGAGGCACGAAAGCGUGGGGAGCAAAC